rnacentral:rRNA from 1 species
CAAUGAAGCGUACGUGGUGGAUGCCUUGGCAGCUAGAGGCGAUGAAGGACGUUGUAGACUACGAAAAGCUUCGGGGAGCAGUCAAACAUGCUUUGAUCCGGAGGUGUCCGAAUGGGGAAACCCACCCAAUUUAUUGGGUAUCACUUACUGAAUACAUAGGUAAGUGAGGCGAACGCGGAGAACUGAAACAUCUAAGUACCCGAAGGAAAAGAAAUCAACCGAGAUUCCCAGAGUAGCGGCGAGCGAAAUGGGAUUAGCCCUUAAGUUACAGAUGGUUUAGCGGAAUGAGCUGGAAAGCUCGGCGAUAGAGGGUGAUAGCCCCGUACGCGAAAGGCCAUUUGUGAUGAAAUCGAGUAGGUCGGAACACGUGAAAUUCUGACUGAAUAUGGGGGGACCAUCCUCCAAGGCUAAAUACUACUGACUGACCGAUAGUGAACUAGUACCGUGAGGGAAAGAUGAAAAGAACCCCGAUAAGGGGAGUGAAAUAGAAUUUGAAACCGCAUACUUACAAGCAGUGAGAGGGCUAUUGUAAAGCUUGAUCACGUACCUCUUGCAUUAUGAUCUAGUGAGUUACGAUGUGUAGCCAGGUUAAGCCGUUAGGUGUAGCCGUAGGGAAACCG